rnacentral:sRNA from 16 species
ACCUCCUCAGAUCGCCCGUCUGCUAAAACCUUCUGCGCGCAGGUCCGGUCAUCAGGAUUCGGGCCCACUUUCUCUAGAGACAGUGUCCCUGCGCA